UCUGUACAUAGUUACCAGUGUGCACACACGCGAUCAACAUGCUGUAUCAUCCCAAUAGCAUCCGAGAACACGGCGGCUGCUAUGUGCGAGCCAAGGCUACAAGAUUAUAUACAGACUUGCUGAAAGAACAGACUCCCUUAACGACUCUCCAAACACCUACCUAGAACUAACUGGCUUGUCAGCACAACCUUCCACUUCUAAGCAAACAGCUGGGAUUGGCCUCUCAACUUUUGCUUCAACCAGGUUUACUGGAUGACCAGUGUGGGGUAAAGAAAUAAUUGUGCUGGGCAAAGCUAACUAAAGAAUUGAACAAAAAAAACAGACCACAAGCUAAACUCCACCUGCUGGAGACAAGCAAUUCAAAUCUGCAAACCACUAAGCCCCUUGCAGUGCUGGAUGGUUAACAAAGCUUUUCUUCAGUCCAUGUCCGGCGACCAGAGGGAGCUAUUCUCAAGUGCCUAGUCUAGCAUAGCAGAGCACUUUGCAGUGAUUACUCUCAAGUGUGAUAUUGCACACAAGACUGUACUGGCUCCUAUGAUGGCCACACAACUGAGCUGGAAUCAGAACAAUUCUGGUAUUUUGCUUAUUACUUCCAUUUUCAAAAAGGUCUUUCUAUGAAAUUUUCGGUACUAUGUAAAUUCCCCUUAUUUCAAUAUUAUUAUCUGGUCAAAGAUAUUUGCUGCAAAGUAACUGCAUUUGAAAUAUCCUAAGUGGUACGACACGCAUCUUCACUAACAUCAUGUAGCAUUUAUGACUACAGCUUAUUUAUACACUAGAACAUGGUUGCAAAAAGUUGGAAUGACGCCAUGGUUUCAUCCUCUCACAAUUAUUGUGAAGGUCCUUUCCUUAUGGUUUAAUUGUUGAGGAUCACGUUCAGAACUUUAAAACAUUUAACUACUGGCUUAAGAGUAACUUCAUUUUUGUCUGCUCAUCCUAGCAAGUUGGCCAUGUAAAAGAAAAAUGUUCUGAAGAUGUCUGAAAACCUUUGCAAGUUCGUUUAGACUCUUCCACCACUGAAAAAAAAAAAAAACACACUCCAACUCUAACUUUAGCAUGAUUAGCACGUGCUAUCUUCAUUGAAGGGCUUUGAAGUAUAGAUUGCAACGAUCCAUCAGCAAUUACUUCUGAUCCUUGACAAAAAAAAAAAAGUACUUACAAAUGACCAAGAAUACGAUAUGAAUUCAGAGGUGGAAAUACAAUAAACGUAGUUGGAAUUUAAACUAAAAAAUACUUCCAAUAA